UACGAAGGGUGCAAGCGUUACUCGGAAUUACUGGGCGUAAAGCGUGCGUAGGCGGUUUGUUAAGUCCGCUGUGAAAGCCCUGGGCUCAACCUGGGAAUUGCAGUGGAUACUGGCAAGCUAGAGUGCGGUAGAGGAUGGUGGAAUUCCCGGUGUAGCGGUGAAAUGCGUAGAGAUGUGGAGGAACACCGAUGGCGAAGGCAGCCUUCUGGGCCAACACUGACGCUCAUGCACGAAAGCGUGGGGAGCAAACAGG
rnacentral:rRNA from 1 species